rnacentral:rRNA from 1 species
GAACCAGACUCCUACGGGAGGCAGCAGUGAGGAAUAUUGGUCAAUGGGCUUACGCCUGAACCGGCCAAGUCGCGUGAGGGAAGACUGCCCUAUGGGUUGUAAACCUCUUUUGUCAGGGAGCAACGCCGGCUACGUGUAGCCGGACUGAGAGUACCUGAAGAAAAAGCAUCGGCUAACUCCGUGCCAGCAGCCGCGGUAAUACGGAGGGUGCGAGCGUUAUCCGGAUUUAUUGGGUUUAAAGGGUGCGUAGGCGGAGUCCAAAGUCAGGGGAAAAAUCGGGGGGCUCAACCUCGCUCCGCCGUUGAAACUGGAGUUCUUGAGUGGGCGAGAAGUAUGCGGAAUGCGUGGUGUAGCGGUGAAAUGCAUAGAUAUCACGCAGAACCCCGAUUGCGAAGGCAGCCUUCCGGCGCCCUACUGACGCUGAGGCACGAAAGUGCGGGGAUCGAACGGGAUUAGAUACCCCAGUA